GGGGUAAUAGUUAAAAAUAACAUUUAAUUUGCAAUUAAAAAGUAUCAUUCUGAUUUACCUCA
rnacentral:tRNA from 1 species